UACAGAGGGGGCAAGCGUUGUUCGGAAUUACUGGGCGUAAAGGGCGCGUAGGCGGCCUGUUAAGUCGGACGUGAAAUCCCUCGGCUUAACCGGGGAACUGCGUCCGAUACUGGAGGGCUUGAGUGUGGGAGAGGGAUGCGGAAUUCCAGGUGUAGCGGUGAAAUGCGUAGAUAUCUGGAGGAACACCGGUGGCGAAGGCGGCAUCCUGGACCAUGACUGACGCUGAGGAGCGAAAGCCAGGGGAGCAAACGGG
rnacentral:rRNA from 1 species